rnacentral:rRNA from 1 species
CGGGACGGGGUGGAGUAAUGUCUGGGAAACGUGCCUGAUGGAGGGGGGUAACUACUGGAAACGGUAGCUAAUACCGCAUAACGUCGCAAGACCAAAGAGGGGGACCUUCGGGCCUCUUGCCAUCGGAUGUGCCCAGAUGGGAUUAGCUAGUAGGUGGGGUAACGGCUCACCUAGGCGACGAUCCCUAGCUGGUCUGAGAGGAUGGCCAGCCACACUGGAACUGAGACACGGUCCAG